rnacentral:rRNA from 1 species
UACGUAGGGGGCAAGCGUUGUCCGGAUUCAUUGGGCGUAAAGAGCGUGUAGGCGGCCAGGUAGGUCGGUUGUGAAAACUGGAGGCUCAACCUUCAGACGUCGACCGAAACCAUCUGGCUAGAGUCCGGGAGAGGAGAGUGGAAUUCCUGGUGUAGCGGUGAAAUGCGCAGAUAUCAGGAAGAACACCCGUGGCUAAGGCGGCUCUCUAGUACGGUACUGACGCUGAGGCGCGAAAGCCAGGGGAGCAAACGGG